rnacentral:rRNA from 1 species
UACAGAGGUCUCAAGCGUUGUUCGGAUUCAUUGGGCGUAAAGGGUGCGUAGGCGGCGCGGUAAGUCGGGUGUGAAAUCUCCAGGCUUAACUUGGAAACUGCCAUUGAUACUAUCAGUCUUGAAUACCGUGGAGGUCAGCGGAAUAUGUCAUGUAGCGGUGAAAUGCUUAGAUAUGACAUAGAACACCAAUUGCGAAGGCAGCUGGCUACACGAAUAUUGACACUGAUGCACGAAAGCGUGGGGAUCAAACAGG